UGGAGCGCAACAACAAUUUCU
rnacentral:siRNA from 1 species